rnacentral:tRNA from 1 species
GCCUGGGUGGCUCAGUGGUUGAGCAUCUGCCUUUGGCUCAGGUUAUGAUCUCAGGGUCCUGGGAUCAAGUCCCGCAUCAGGCU